UGAAGCGGUUAUUGAGGAAUAUUUUUCAAAUUAUUUGAGCUAUCCUUGAAUGAGCCAUGAAGACGCUGCAGUGCAUUUUGCUGCUCAGCAUUCUGACGACUGUUAUGUGCGCCAUUUGGGAUCACACGAAAUGCCUUGCAUUUUGCCGACCCAGGCGCGACAACAGUACCAGUUGCGGAACGGGUUGCAAGUGUCAUCCCUUUCGUUAUAUGCCAAUGAUUGGAGGCUGUCUUGAUAACUCACUUCCGGUUCCCUGGAUGUUCCGUCCAUUACGAAGGAUUUUGGGAAAGUAGCUCCAUAUUUGUAAUCACCUAAGGAGCGAAAAAUAAACCCCAGUCAAUGUUCGAAA
rnacentral:lncRNA from 1 species